rfam:Oryza rufipogon genomic scaffold, chr07
AAAGACUCAAUUCCUGGGUUUUGGUGUUCAAUGUUUGACCAUCCGUCUUAUAUGGAUUUUUUUAUGAUUAGUAUUUUCAUUAUUGUUAGAUGAUAAAACAUGAAUAGUACUUUAUGCACGAUUUAUCUUUUUAAAUUUUUUCAUAACUUUUUCAAAUAAGACGAACGAUCAAACGUUAAACACGGAAACCCAGGAAUUGAUUUUUU